CAUCCCUUUCGAUUUGAACAAAACCUUCCAUACAUAGUCACCCAUUGUAGAAGUGGUCGAAAGUGACUUUCGGGACCUGAAUGCAAAAACAUCGAAGACAUAAAGGUGCUCAAAGUUGACCUAUUAGAAUGUAUGACACCCAUUCUGUGUCUCAACUGAUGGACAACACAACCUCAGAUGAUGUGAAAUAGGUCUAAGCUAUAACAUGCAGAUUGAAAAGAGUUUACAUUUUGUUAGAUAAUUUAUAUUAAGGCAUUAAAUAAUGUCCACAUUUUUAUUAAAACAUAUUUUUUUUCAAGAAAUUAUUAAAAUCGUAUGAUAACCCUGUUUGUAAGCUCUUAAAUUAUAUCAUCUCAACCAUACAUUUUUUCCAGUGAUGUCUUGUGGUAUGGUGGGGUAUGCAAAACGGGUCAACUUUGAGGACCUUUAUCCCUGAAUGUUUUGGCUUGCUCAGGUCCCAAACGUCACUUCCUGACCUCUUCUUCGAUGGGCGGAACGUUGGUUUAAAUCAAAAGGGAUGCUGUCAAAAAGUGAUUGGCCUGGAGCAGCUCGAGGCACCUCUAGUAGAGUCAUCUCUCCAGGCCUGGGCAGCUCGAGGACACCUCUAGUGGAGUCAUCUCUCCAGGCCUGGAGCAGCUCGAGGACACCUCUAGUGGAGUCAUCUCUCCAGGCCUGGAGCAGCUCGAGGACACCUCUAGUAGAGUCAUCUCUCCAGGCCUGGAGCAGCUCGAGGACACCUCUAGUAGAGUCAUCUCUCCCAGGCCUAGAGCAGCUCGAGACACUCUAGUGGAGUCAUCUCUCCAGGCCUGGAGCAGCUCGAGGACACCUCUAAUAGAGUCAUCUCUCCCAGGCCUGGAGCAGCUCGAGGACACCUCUAGUAGAGUCAUCUCUCCCCAGGCCUGGAGCAGCUCGAGGACACCUCUAGUAAGUCAUCUCUCCAGGCCUGGCAGCUCGAGGACACCUCUAGUGGAGUCAUCUCUCCCAGGCCUAGAGCAGCUCGAGGACACCUCUAGUGGAGUCAUCUCUCCCCAGGCCUAGAGCAGCUCGAGGACACCUCUAGUAGAGUCAUCUCUCCCCCAGGC
ensembl:lncRNA